rnacentral:rRNA from 1 species
UACGUAGGUGGCGAGCGUUAUCCGGAAUUAUUGGGCGUAAAGAGCGCGCAGGUGGUUGAUUAAGUCUGAUGUGAAAGCCCACGGCUUAACCGUGGAGGGUCAUUGGAAACUGGUCGACUUGAGUGCAGAAGAGGGAAGUGGAACUCCAUGUGUAGCGGUGAAAUGCGUAGAUAUUAGGAGGAACACCAGUUGCGAAGGCGGCUCUCUGGACUGUAACUGACACUGAGGCACGAAAGCGUGGGGAGCAAACAGGAUUAGAUA